GACCUCAGUUCAGGUGAGAUUACCGGCUGAAUUUAAGCAUAUUACUAAGCCGAGGAAAAGAAACUAACAAGGAUUCCCCUAGUAGCAGCGAGCGAACAGGGAAGAGCCCAGCGCUGAAUCCCCCGGGCCUCGCUCGGCGGGAAAUGUAGCGUUUGGGAGGGCCCGUCAACACGGCGACUCGCUCACUGGUUCAAGUCCAACUUGAAUGGGGCCACACAGAGGGUGACAGGCCCGUAGAGCAGGAGCGGUUGUCGUGUGGGUCUCUCCUUAGAGUCGGUUUGCUUGAGAGUGCAGACUUAAGUGGGUGGUAAACUCCAUCUAAGGCUAAAUAUGACCACGAGACCGAUAGCACACAAGUACCGUGAGGGAAAGGUGAAAAGAACUUUGAAGAGAGAGUUCAAGAGUACGUGAAACUGAAGUGGUGUAAACGGACGAGUUCGAAAAGUCCGAAUGGUGAGAUUCAAGCUUACCGUGCCGGUGGCCCUCGGGUUCAGAUGGCGUCGUCAGCUCGGGCUUCGGUUCGGGUCAUACGGCGUCACUCGUCCUGGGGGUAUCUGUCUGGUGCGGUGGGCUGCACUUCUCGCCUAGUAGGACGUCGCGACCCGUUGGGAUGUUCCGUUCACUGGCCCCUGGUGGAGCCCGCGCCGGAGCGUGGCCUUGUGCCGCGUUGCUGUUUGCACGGACCCGGGGUGACCUGAUCGGCGCCCGACGGUAUCAAAGCUUGGGAAGAGGCCGCACAGAGGAUGCGUUCGAUGGCCGUUUCGGCCUACACUCGGACAGGCCUGCACCCGGUCAGCG
rnacentral:rRNA from 1 species